UACGUAGGUGGCAAGCGUUGUCCGGAUUUACUGGGCGUAAAGAGCGCGCAGGCGGUCGUUCAAGUCGCGUGUGAAAGCCCCCGGCUCAACUGGGGAGGGUCACGCGAUACUGAUCGACUCGAAGGCAGGAGAGGGUAGUGGAAUUCCCGGUGUAGUGGUGAAAUGCGUAGAUAUCUGGAGGAACACCGGUGGCGAAGGCGGCAUCCUGGACCGACACUGACGCUGAGGAGCGAAAGCCAGGGGAGCAACGGG
rnacentral:rRNA from 1 species